rnacentral:rRNA from 1 species
GACGAACGCUGGCGACGUGCCUAAUACAUGCAAGUCGAGCGGAUGGAAGGAAGCUUGCUUCCUAAAGUCAGCGGCGGACGGGUGAGUAACACGUGGGCAACCUGCCCCUAAGAUCGGGAUAACUUCGGGAAACCGGAGCUAAUACCGGAUAUGAUUAUGUCUCACAUGAGACAUAAUGGAAAGACGGUUUCGGCUGUCACUUAGGGAUGGGCCCGCGGCGCAUUAGCUAGUUGGUGAGGUAACGGCUCACCAAGGCGACGAUGCGUAGCCGACCUGAGAGGGUGAUCGGCCACACUGGGACUGAGACACGGCCCAGACUCCUACGGGAGGCAGCAGUAGGGAAUCUUCCGCAAUGGACGAAAGUCUGACGGAGCAACGCCGCGUGAGUGAAGAAGGUUUUCGGAUCGUAAAACUCUGUUGUUAGGGAAGAACAAGUACCAUAGUAACUGAUGGUACCUUGACGGUACCUAACCAGAAAGCCACGGCUAACUACGUGCCAGCAGCCGCGGUAA